rnacentral:rRNA from 1 species
GAUGAACGCUGGCGGCGUGCCUAAUACAUGCAAGUCGAGCGAACGGACGAGAAGCUUGCUUCUCUGAUGUUAGCGGCGGGCGGGUGUGUAACACGUGGAUAACCUACCUAUACGACUGGGAUCACUUCGGGACACCGUAUCUAAUACCGGAACAUCUUUUGAACCGCAUGGUUCAAAAGUGAAAGACAGUCUUGCUGUUACUUAUUGAUGGAUCCUCGCUGCAUUAGCUAGUUGGUAAGGUAACGCCUUACCAAGGCAACGAUGCAUAGCCGACCUGAGAGGGGGAUCGGCCACACUGGAACGGAGACACGGUCCAGACUCCUACGGGAGGCAGCAGUAGGGAAUCUUCCGCAAGGGGCGAAGGCCUGACGGGGCAACGCCGGGUGAGUGAUGAAGUUCUUCGGAUCGUAAGACUCUGUGAUUAGGGAAGAACAGAUGUGUAAGUAACUGUGCACAUCGUGACGGUACCUAAUCAGAAAGCGACGGCUAACUACGUG